GUACCAGGGAAGUGUCUUCUUGUUAACCAGCUCCAGAGUGUGUGGUUCACUAUUUGUCAGAAAUAGUGCGAAAACUUUGAUCCUGGCUUGUAUUGGUGGUGGGGUGGUUAAGGAGGGACUUUAUGUCAUGUUCACUUGCCUAGGGGUCUGUUGAUUUGUCAGAGUGUGGGGCCUACCUAGUAUUGGAGACUUGGAGACUUGCUAUGUACUCCUUCUUUGAGGCUGGAUACUGCUGAUCUUGGACCUUGCUUCCCUUCCACCCAAGUAAGAAAGAUCUUUCCUACAAUUCUGAUGCAGAAAAUAUACCCGAAAGAUGUUAAGUCAUUUCCCCAAUCCACACAGGAAUUAAGUGACAAAGGUUUAGGUAACAGUGCCAUAUUUACAUCAAAGAAGAAAUUUGACAUGACCCCUUCAUCCAAAGCACCUCUGGGAUAUCUUAUUGUGGCCAGCUACCAAUUCAUAUGUUGCUCAGGUAAAUAAAUUGAUGUUCCCCGAAAAUUAAUUUACUUUCACAAGAUCACAUUGGUAAAAAGAAUCAAAACAAUCAAAAAUAAUUUAAAUUCUUAUUUUCUGAAUCCUAAACCACUGUUCUUUUUUUCUUUCUACCACAUUUAUG
rnacentral:lncRNA from 1 species